rnacentral:rRNA from 1 species
CAGUAGCCACGGGAAUACAGAGGGUGCGAGCGUUAAUCGGAUUUACUGGGCGUAAAGCGUGCGUAGGCGGCUAAUUGAGUCGGAUGUGAAAUCCCCGAGCUUAACUUGGGAAUUGCAUUCGAUACUGGUUAGCUAGAGUGUGGGAGAGGAUGGUAGAAUUCCAGGUGUAGCGGUGAAAUGCGUAGAGAUCUGGAGGAAUACCGAUGGCGAAGGCAGCCAUCUGGCCUAACACUGACGCUGAGGUACGAAAGCAUGGGGAGCAAACAGGAUUAGAUACCCCAGUAGUCCCUGUCUCUUAUAA